GCCUGGGAAGCCAAGUGCACAAUCGCAGACAAGCAGUCACCAGCGAAGGAAUGUCAGCCACUUACCAAGGAGACGCCAGGCUCCUCCGUCCUUCCUCCGCGCCUCUCAAUUCCCGUCUGCCAUCCUCCUGCCCGUCGGCACAGCUCAGACAAGAGCCCAGGCUCAGGUGCACCCCAGCCUGUGGCAGGAGACCAACUGCGGAGUUUCGAGUCCUUCACAGAGAAUCCUCCAGCUCGCCCGGCCGCUCCCUGAGGAGGGCACGCAGGGUUCAGGAAUAUGCAGUUCAACGUUUGAAAUCAGAAAAAACACUGCAUAAAUUCAGUUCAGUCACUCAGUCGUGUCCGACUCUUUG
ensembl:lncRNA